rnacentral:rRNA from 1 species
UACGGAAGGCAGCAGUGGGGAAUAUUGGACAAUGGGCGAAAGCCUGAUCCAGCCAUGCCGCAUGAGUGAAGAAGGCCUUCGGGUUGUAAAGCUCUUUUAGUGAGAAAGAUAAUGACGGUACUCACAGAAGAAGUCCUGGCUAACUCCGUGCCAGCAGCCGCGGUAAUACGGAGAGGGGCUAGCGUUAUUCGGAAUUAUUGGGCGUAAAGAGCGCGUAGGCUGAUUUAGUAAGUUAAAAGUGAAAUCCCAAAGCUUAACUUUGGAAUUGCUUUUUAAAACUGCUAGUCUAGAGAUUUGAAAGAGGAUAGAGGAAUUCCUAGUGUAGAGGUGAAAUUCGUAAAUAUUAGGAGGAACACCAGUGGCGAAGGCGUCUAUCUGGUUCAAAUCUGACGCUGAGGCGCGAAGGGCGUGGGGAGCAAACAGGGAUUAGAUACC